CAAAGGGGAAAAGCCAUUUAGGCCGACAUCUCACCUACCGCGGCGGCGAUGAUGAAUCGCCAGCAGCGUGCAGAUGGCCAAGUGAAGACGGAUGAGACGGACGGCGAGUGAUGAACGACAUCGAGCUGGUCUGAGCCAUGCCUAUAGCGGACGGUUUGCUUUACCGCAUUCAACAGUGUUUUCCCAAUCGGAGCGGAGUUAGAGCCGUGGAAGUAAAUGAAAAACUGCGACGAGGAGGGAGAAAGGGAGACUGGAAACAGUUUGGAGCGUUUAUUUAAAUUUUUUGGGGGGGGCUUUCUGAAACGGAAAACUCUGCAGCGCUUUGGACGAUGCGGACUAAGACUGUUCUGGAGCUUCAGAUGAGAAGAUUUAAACAUCAGAAGCUGUAAAAAGACUUUUUCCCACCCCCGUUCCCCUCCUUUUUUUUUUCUAUUCCAGUGGAUUGCUUUUCCCCCCCCUCGUCUUCCUUCCCUCCGUCAGGAUUUUUGCCACCACAGAUCAGUAGAGGGUGUCAGAUCUUUCUCAGAGCGGCGCGCUGUAGGGAUGAGUGCAGCCUUCGCUCUCGCCUUAUUGUGACC